UACGGAGGGAGCUAGCGUUGUUCGGAAUUACUGGGCGUAAAGCGCACGUAGGCGGAUUGCUAAGUCAGGGGUGAAAUCCUGGAGCUCAACUCCAGAACUGCCUUUGAUACUGGCGACCUUGAGUCCGGGAGAGGUGAGUGGAACUGCGAGUGUAGAGGUGAAAUUCGUAGAUAUUCGCAAGAACACCAGUGGCGAAGGCGGCUCACUGGCCCGGUACUGACGCUGAGGUGCGAAAGCGUGGGGAGCAAACAGGG
rnacentral:rRNA from 1 species